rnacentral:rRNA from 1 species
GACGAACCGUGCGAACGUUAUUCGGAAUCACUGGGCUUAAAGCGCGUGUAGGCGGGACGGCACGUCGGUCGCUGAAAGCCCCCGGCUCAACCGGGGAACGGGCGCCGAUACGACCGGCCUGGAGGGACGUAGGGGGACCUGGAACUUCCGGUGGAGCGGUGAAAUGCGUUGAGAUCGGAAGGAACGCCCGUGGCGAAAGCGGCACACUGGGUCUCAACUGACGCUGAGGCACGAAAGCCAGGGGAGCGAACGGG